GAUCAUAUUUCCUAGACUGUUUAAUUAUAACUACUUGAUGACCCCAAUCGAUUAGGGGUCACUUGACUGUGACCUUGACCUACUGACCUACUUUCUUGUUUUUAGCUCACCUGAGCACGAAGUGCUCAAAGGUGAGCUUUAGUGAUCGCCCUGUGUCCGUCGUCCGUCGUCCGUCCGUCCGUCCGUCCGUCCGUCCGUCCGUCCGUCGUCAACAAUUUGACUGUUAACACUCUAGAGGUCACAUUUUUGGCCCAAUCUUAAUGAAACUUGGUCAGAAUGUUACCCUCAAUAAAAUCUUGGACGAGUUCGAUAUUGGGUCAUCUGGGAUCAAAAACUAGGUCAUCAGGUCAAAUCAAAGGAAAAGCUUGUUAACACUCUAGAGGUCACAUUUUUGGCCCAAUCUUAAUGAAACUUGGUCAGAAUGUUACCCUCAAUAAAAUCUUGGACGAGU